rnacentral:snRNA from 1 species
AUACUUACCUGGCAGGGGAGAUACAAUGAUCACGAAGAUGGUUUUCCCGGAGUGAGGCUCAUUCAUUGCACUCCGGAUGUGCUGAUCCCUGCUGAUUUCCCCAGAUGUGGGAAAUUGGACUGUAUAGCUUGUGAUAGUGGGGACUGCAUUCAUGUUCUCUGCU